AGCGAACGCUGGCGGCAGGCCUAAUACAUGCAAGUCGAACGGAUCCUUCGGGAUUAGUGGCGGACGGGUGAGUAACACGUGGGAACGUGCCCUUUGGUUCGGAACAACUCAGGGAAACUUGAGCUAAUACCGGAUAAGCCCUUCGGGGAAGGAUUAUCGCCAUUGGAGCGGCCCGCGUCUGAUUAGCUAGUUGGUGGGGUAAA
rnacentral:rRNA from 1 species